AGCCCCACUGUGUUGUCAUAAUGACUUAGCACCUACAAAAUGAAAAGAGGGCCAAAAAAAACCCAAAACGUCUAGCUUCCCCCUCAGUUAAGUGUUCAAAGUGUCCUAACUUCCAGCUUUGAAAUAGGACUGAAGAUGAACCAUGCUCCUGGCACCCCCUGUUGAGAGCCCAAGUUCAGCAGAUUGCAGCCAUGGGGGACUGAAAAUGGAACCCUGGACAAAGACACUUGCUGGGUGACCCAAGGCAAGGUUCAUCCACCGGAGAGAGGACCUCCACCCCCGCUCUCCUCUGGUCAGCCAUCCUAAACCCUCAGAAGGAGCCAUUGGUCCACCUUGUAAUACGACUGCUUCUACUGCAGUCCCUUGAUGGGGGCGAAGGUGCAGCACGACAUGACAGUCCCAAAGGAAGGGAACUGCUGCAAAGGGCCAGAAUAGAUGACAAUUAUCCCAACCUCUAAGCCAAAGUUAGUCCUUGUUCCUGAAUACCAUCAAGUCAUCGUCUGUUACAAGCAUUACCAGGUGCUCUGCUGAAACCGGUAGGAUGAACACCUUCCGAACAGGCUGCAUUCCUCCUGAGGAAACUGAGGAGUGUAACCUCACAGUGAAAUUCCUCCCAAGGCUUUGGCUCUGCAGGAAGCUUCUGGCUAUUUUUCAGGAGAUGCGUUUGCUGCAGGAGGAGUUGGUACCAGUCUUCAGUUCUCAGCCUGUAGGCCCCUGACAUGGGGCACUAUUCUGUACAGUUCCAGAAACCAACAACAGCCAUUCAGCAGGAGUGUUGAAACUGCAGAUUGUUCUCCACUGUUCUUCACUGUGGCUGUGUUUGGAACUACCAAAUACUAAUCCUCAGAACUUGGUCUUGGACCUGGUUAUAAAUCUCAUUCCUGCAACUCUGAACAGUGUGAU